GUUUGAAGAGUUUUACUGAAUGAAGAAUUGUAAAUUCUUAGGUUUAUUUCAUUCAGACU
rnacentral:tRNA from 1 species